GGGCAGCAGUGUGAUCAGAUAUUAUUGCUUUUCAAAGGAAAGAAAUGGAAUUUCUUUCCUCAGAAAUUAUUUACAGAUGGUUGGCUGAGUUCCAGUCCCACUUCCUGGGUAAAUCAAUGCGAUCCUUGCCUUCAUAUGUGGACUGGGGCAUUUCUUCCUAUUAGUUUCCUAUUUGCAGCCUGAUGCGUCCUUACCACCACAAAGAAAUACAGGAAGAGCAGGAAGUACCAAGGGGAGCCACAGAGAAGGAGAAGCAAGAGAAGCAAGAAACACCAGACCUUGAAAGCAAGGUCAUGAAUGAGGAAGCAUAUUGGAAAACACAAAGCGAUCCCCAUCAUGAACCCUGUAAUCACGGUGCGGGCACGUGGCCUUGGACAGUGCAGUUUGGGGCUCCUGAGUCCAAUACCCCAAAGGUCUUCCCUAUAGAGACACUGUACCCAGCCUCCUGUAAGACCCCUGGGCUCCACCUUCUGCUGUGACCCAGACUCCUGUAAGAUCUGGUAGAGGUUCAGGACCUGUUGUGCCUUCUGAAAAGCCACCUGGCAAAUUGACAAAGCUCUGUCUCCAGCAGGGUGAGCAGGUAGGAGUGUCAGGCCUGGGAGGGUGGAGGGAUGACAGAGCCACAGGGCUGGUGGUGGAGAGGGGAUGUGGUCCAGCUACUUGUGUCCCUUACCUGCCCUCAAGGGCCCUUUGUGACCAGACCACAGCUCUGUGAUGUGGGCAUGGGGCUUGUCUCUGCACCUCCACACCCAGAGCUCUGUUGCCUGAAGGCAGCAGUGUGAUCAGAUACUAAUACUUUUCAGAGGGAAGAAAUGGACAGUUAUCUCUUUCCUCAGAAAUUAUUUUCAGAUGGUUGACUGAACUCCGGUCCCACUUCCUGGGCAAAUUAAUGCCAUCCUUGCCUUCAUAUGUGGACUGGGGCAUUUCUUCCUAUUAGUUUCCUAUUUGCAGCCUGAUGCGUCCUUACCACCACAAAGAAAUACAGGAAGAGCAGGAAGGUAAGGAACCCUUGGCCUAGACCCAGCAAAGUGUGAUUCUAUCUUUUCUAUUAUUCUUUCCACUUUUCUGAGUCAAUGGAGAUACUCUUGAGAUUGGAAAAAAUAGAACGUGUAUUCUCAGGAGAGUAGACCAUCAUCUAUCCAGGACAAGCCAGCCUGGGCAAGGGUUAGAGGGACAUGAGGAUUUCUCCCUGAAGAUCUUUGGCUAGAGUCCAGGUGUGGUGGAGGGGUCCAGGACAGCAUCCCAAACACAGUGACCAGUGGCCAAGGGCCGGAGGUUAAGAGCUGCCUCUCCAGUGGAGGUCGGGCUCCUGAGCACUGGGUCACCUGCUGUUGGGGUGGGGAGCCCAGCCUCCCUGUGUUCUCUUAUCUCAGUACCAAGGGGAGCCACGGAGAAGAACGAGCAAGAGAAGAAACACCAGACUCUGAAAGUUUUCAGAGAUUUCCUGCAAGAUCUGGUAGAGGUUCAGGACCUGUUCUCUCUUCUGCAAAGGUAAUGGAUCUGCCCCCUUCUCCCAUGGGUGGGCCUCCCCAAGUCUAUGGUGUGACCCCAGGGCUGCAGGGAAUGUCUUUUGGGGCUGUUAGUGGGCCUGGGACGAUCCAUGAGAACAAACUGUGACCAAAGCCCCUGGCUGAGGGACAGCAGGAGCAUUGUGAUGUGGGUGUGGGGCGUGGAGGACUGGGGGUACCUCUCCGGGCCCUAGGUGCUGCAGAAGCAUCUC